AUUGAACGCUGGCGGCAUGCCUUACACAUGCAAGUCGAACGGCAGCACGGGAGUAAUCCUGGUGGCGAGUGGCGAACGGGUGAGUAAAGCAUCGGAACGUGCCCAGUCGUGGGGGAUAACGUAGCGAAAGCUACGCUAAUACCGCAUACGAUCUGUGGAUGAAAGCGGGGGACCGUAAGGCCUCGCGCGAUUGGAGCGGCCGAUGUCAGAUUAGGUAGUUGAUGAGGUAAAGGCUCACCAAGCCGACGAUCUGUAGCUGGUCUGAGAGGACGACCAGCCACACUGGGACUGAGACACGGCCCAGACUCCUACGGGAGGCAGCAGUGGGGAAUUUUGGACAAUGGGCGCAAGCCUGAUCCAGCAAUGCCGCGUGCAGGAUGAAGGCCUUCGGGUUGUAAACUGCUUUUGUACGGAGCGAAAAGGCUUCCACUAAUACUGGGGGCUCAUGACGGUACCGUAAGAAUAAGCACCGGCUAACUACGUG
rnacentral:rRNA from 1 species